GGCCUGGUGGUGUAACGGUAACACGUCUGCUUUACAUAAAGAAAUUCCGAGUCCAGUUUGGCAGGGGAUCCUUGUUCGACUCAAGGUCAGACCA